rnacentral:lncRNA from 1 species
UUCUACAAAGGAUGUAGAUUGUUUGAUUUAAAAUUAAACUUGCAAAUUGUACAAUCAUAUUUCGUUAGUGUGAUUACAGGGUUAGAAAAUUGUUUCUGGCUAAAACCAAAUGAACGAAGCUUCCCAAAAUAGGUAAGUAACAAAAUAAACAGAAAUUAGUAAUUAUCAUAACAACAUUAAGAAACCAAAUAAAGACUUACUAUGCAUGUAAAUGGAAGUGUUCGAGUGCUAAGAAAAAUAGAGGCUUGAGCUCCGAAAUAUACAUAACCAAUUGAUUGAGGCAUAAAAUCUUACAGGGGAAAUCAAUUAACUCGGCACCUUUGGCAAACUGAAAUUCAAACAUGGAAUAGAACACAGCAACAAAAUUUUGCUCCGCGAGCCGCGAGCCGGCAACCCCGACGAUUGGAAAUCAAUGACGGCAAACUCAAACUCGACUCUCUUGGACUGCUUCAAACUAGAAAUAGGGAUUCAGUGUUUCGACUGUUGCGACUCUCAUGAAUUUCAACUCAUUUUCUGUGUGUCAAUAUACGGGAGUUUAAUGGAUGCUAAUGAUUUUAAAGAAGAAGAGGUUGUCUCUAACUAAGUUUAAGGAAAUGGGGAAAUAACAGUAAGGUCUGGUCGUUGUUUCUUGAGGGGAGGGGGUCUUGUGAAGAUGAUGAAGGAAAUGGCUGUCUAGGGGUGUUCUCUGCUGAAGCAGAUUAAAAUCCGCGGAGGUCCAUCUAUUGCGGCUGCUUUUUAGCCCUUGUUCCAGGCGUUAUCUCCUUCUUCUUCUUUUGGCUGAUUUAGUCUUAGUUUUAUAGGUGUAGGGUUA